rnacentral:sRNA from 1 species
AUUCAAAAUUAUAAUCAUCCCUUUAUUAUUAAAAGGGAAGUACAAAUUGAAUUUUUUUCUAAUUUGGUCUCAAUUUUGAUUUCAAUUUUGGAUUUUGGUCUUUGCUAUUUAAAAUCAUUAAGGGCAAUUUGGUAUUAACAAUCUCCUAAACUUUAUAUGAUCUGAUUCAAUCUAAACCGUUCAAUAAAAUUAAGGAAUCU